UAAACCUGAGACACGAGACGAGUCACUACGGUGAUGAAGUUGCUGAUGCCAUACUUCCAGGAAAAGCCUCUAAGCUUCAGAUUAUAUGGAAUCGUACCCCAAACCGACACAGGUGGUCAGGUAGAGAAUACUAAGGCGCUUGAGAGAACUCGGGUGAAGGAACUAGGCAAAAUCGUACCGUAACUUCGGGAGAAGGUACGCUCCUAUCUGUGAUGAGACUUGCUCUCUAAGCGGACGGGAGCCGCAGUGACCAGGUGGCUGGGACUGUUUAUUAAAAACACAGCACUGUGCAAAAUCGCAAGAUGACGUAUACGGUGUGACACCUGCCCGGUGCCGGAAGGUUAAUUGAUGGGGUUAUCCUUAGGGAGAAGCUCUUGAUCGAAGCCCCGGUAAACGGCGGCCGUAACUAUAACGGUCCUAAGGUAGCGAAAUUCCUUGUCGGGUAAGUUCCGACCUGCACGAAUGGUGUAACCAUGGCCACGCUGUCUCCACCCGAGACUCAGUGAAAUUGAAAUCGCAGUGAAGAUGCUGUGUACCCGCGGCUAGACGGAAAGACCCCGUGAACCUUUACUACAGCUUGGCACUGAACAUUGAACCUACAUGUGUAGGAUAGGUGGGAGACUUUGAAGCAGCGACGCUAGUUGUUGUGGAGUCAACCUUGAAAUACCACCCUUGUAGUUUUGAUGUUCUAACGUUGGCCCCUGAAUCGGGGUUACGGACAGUGCCUGGUGGGUAGUUUGACUGGGGCGGUCUCCUCCUAAAGAGUAACGGAGGAGCACGAAGGUUGGCUAAGUACGGUCGGACAUCGUACGGUUAGUGUAAUGGUAGAAGCCAGCUUAACUGCGAGACAGACACGUCGAGCAGGUACGAAAGUAGGUCAUAGUGAUCCGGUGGUUCUGAAUGGAAGGGCCAUCGCUCAACGGAUAAAAGGUACUCCGGGGAUAACAGGCUGAUACCGCCCAAGAGUUCAUAUCGACGGCGGUGUUUGGCACCUCGAUGUCGGCUCAUCACAUCCUGGGGCUGAAGUCGGUCCCAAGGGUAUGGCUGUUCGCCAUUUAAAGUGGUACGCGAGCUGGGUUUAGAACGUCGUGAGACAGUUCGGUCCCUAUCUGCCGUGGGCGUUUGAGAAUUGAGAGGGGUUGCUCCUAGUACGAGAGGACCGGAGUGAACGAACCGCUGGUGUUCGGGUUGUCAUGCCAAUGGCAUUGCCCGGUAGCUACGUUCGGAACUGAUAAGCGCUGAAAGCAUCUAAGCGCGAAGCAGGCCUCGAGAUGAGUUCUCACUAGACUUUUAAAGUCUCUGAAGGGCCGUUGAAGACUACAACGUUGAUAGGCAAGAUGUGGAAGUGGUGUGAGCCAUUAAGCUAACUUGUACUAAUUACCCGUGAGGCUUAACCAU
rnacentral:rRNA from 1 species